rnacentral:rRNA from 1 species
CCUACGGGUGGCAGCAGUGGGGGAUAUUGCACAAUGGGGGGAACCCUGAUGCAGCGACGCCGCGUGGGUGAAGAAGCGCCUCGGCGCGUAAAGCCCUGUCAGCAGGGAAGAAAAUGACGGUACCUGAAGAAGAAGCCCCGGCUAACUACGUGCCAGCAGCCGCGGUAAUACGUAGGGGGCAAGCGUUAUCCGGAUUUACUGGGUGGAAAGGGGGCGCAGACGGGGAUGCAAGCCAGGAGGGAAAGCCCGGGGCCCAACCCCGGGACGGCUCUUGGAACGGGGUGGCUGGAGUGCAGGAGGGGCAUGCGGAAUUGCUGGUGGAGCGGUGAAAUGCGUAGAAAUCAAGAGGAACCCCGGUGGCGAAGGCGGCCUGCUGGACUGCAACUGACGUUGAGGCCCGAAAGCGUGGGGAGCCAACAGGAUUAGAUACCCCAGUAGUC